UCAACAACAUACUGAUAACUGUAGACGCCAUCUAUAAUAAUGGUCUCCGAUAUGCCACAAGAGCUUUUCGAACCACCCCUGUGAUAAGUAUUUACGCAGACAGUGGACAACUACCGUUAAAAUACAGGAGAAUGUGCCAAUUAGUAAACUACUCACUUUCAACGCUAGAAAACGGCCAACCACCCAAACCACGAAAAAGUCGCAUCACCUCGAUUUCAAAACAUACAAAAUCAAACCGUCCUACCACAUACCUUUCAAUAUUAAAGCAAAACAAAUAUGAAUUAAACAUUCCCACCACAUCGAUCAAUGCAAACGAAAUAACGACGAUAUUUCAAAAGUUACGGUUGUGUUUGGUACUAUAAACAGACAACUUCGCGAAGAAUCUACAUAUCGUAUUCGUGUCGAUAAUCUGUUGACCGAUCCUUAUCACAUUAGUACCGGUAUCUUAGCGUGUUAGCCGGUUAUCCUUACUCGCAGUUAUCAGUGUUAUCAUUUUCGUUCAGGCAUAGGCGUAAUCUCAAACUAUGAAUAUGAAGUGCUGUCAUUGUUUUGAGUCCAUUCUCGGCUCUCGCCUCGCAUUUCAAAAUUAGCUGCAGUGCAUGCAAACUUGGCCUGCAUUUGGAAUGCUUGGAUAUGACAGAAGAGGAAAGAACAUUCGUUCCUAAAAUGCGCUCCAACAAUCUGAAGAUUUUUUGUAACCGUUGCAAUGUAUCGCUUGCGGCAAUUGCUGAUAUCAAAUCAAUGGUGAAUGAUUUGGAACUGGCUUUUGAAUCGCGAAUUGAGAAACUCGAAAAUUUAAUUACAGAAAACACAACUCAAUCUCUCUCUUCUAAAGAGGACACAAUCAACGAAGCUGUGGACAGAUUGAAUCGUUCGCUCAAUGUGGUGCUGUACAAUGUCCCUGAAACUCCUGCUAUAAAUGAUUGUGACUUUGCCAACGAUAUCUUAGAAGUAAUAGACUCCACUUUGGUUGUUUCCCCUGGUAGUGUUCAUGUUCAUAGAAUUGGUGCUCCUUCCAACAACAAACCAAGGCUGAGACUUGACCAUAAAAUAUAUUAAUAAAACCCCCCUCACAGUUGAUAAAAAAACCUAAGUACUGGCAAGCCUUCACAUCCUGUAUUCGAACCAGGCCUCAUUGUUAUCUAAAUUUAAUGAUCUUACUCUUUGUGAUUUCUUCGUCAAGCCCGAGCAUUAUUGCUAUAUCAGAAACAUGACUUCAGUCUAAUAUUGCUGAUUCUGUUGUUGCUCUAAAAAAUUACACUUUACACAGAAAAGAUCGAGUAGUCUGUAAAGGUGGCGGAGUGUGCUUGUUCGUGCACGACGACCUGAGUGAGCGAUUUUCUGUUGAAACAAUUCAUAUUGCUACUGAACCUUACGAUUCAUUGUUUUUAAAAUUCUGCAGCAAGGAUCUCACUUUUGUUGUUGGUUGUGUCUACAGGCCGCCUAAUUAACACAAGCUUGAAUAACGCCGCGCCGGAAACGACACCACAUCACACGCUAUACAAACAGACCCGUCAUAUAUCAUCGUAUAUUUCAUUUUCCGCAAAAUUGGUUUUUGUCCAUUUGCAUCAGGUAGAUAGAAAUGAUUGUAUUUAUGAACUACGCACAUAGUAUUUUCAAACAAAAUUGCAAACACCUUGGAUAUUAAAGGGAUUUUUUAUACUGCUUUAUGUUGUCAGUUUGUCACUAUAUUCCUCACAACAGUAUAGUGAAGUGAGAUUCAAUAUAUUUAUUCAAAGGUAAUUAGAGAAUCUUGUACUUGUUCAAGUGCCUAAUUGAAAUUCUUUAGAGCUUAAAUGCAAUUUAGGCAUAGUUAUGAAUUCAAUUAAUGAAUUGGUGUAGAUCUUGAAUUUUAUUGGAGCUUAAUUUCUGAAUUCAAUCAAUAAAAUCAACUUCAUUUGAGCUGAAAUGGAGGUAACUGUAAAGUUUUCAGUAAAUGCAGAUUUUCAGUCUGCAACGAAAGUUUCGUUUCGAUUAAUUUUGAGCUGAAUUUGAGCUUAACUUCUUAUUGUGGCCGAUUCAUAGAUACGGUUUGAGGCGAGUCGGAGUUUUCAGUCUAAUUUUUAAAUUCCAACUGUCAGCCCGAACGGAAUUUUGAUUUUUAAAAUUGCCCUUAAUUAGGGGUAAUUGAAAGAUUUACUGCUUUAUUUUAUAAAUAAAUGAACUCCGCAGUUCGAAGCCCUUUCAGCCCAAAUGUUUUCAGUUUUUAAGCUCCAAAUGUACACACACUUGGGAGUGCUCUCAAUUCAAACUCGGAGCUGACAUGAACUUUUAAAUGCAAGUUUUCAAUUAAUGGCCGAAUGGAGAUUUCAGUGCUUUAAAAAAGCUGUUUCCAAACAUUCCUGUCACCUCGUUCUUUGCCUCCUACUCGGGCAGCAACACGAC